AUGAAGUUAUCAAGACGUAACAUCUGAUUUUGUGUUUCAAAUUCAGUACAUACCAAGAGAAGCGCUUACAAUAAUGGAUCAGAUAAUGGUAAUUCUAAAAUGAGGUGCGCUAAAUUUAUGGUGUAUCAUGUCUGGUUUGCAACCCCCAUAAGUAACAACAGCUACUGGCGCUGUAAGCUAGAAAAUUCUGGAAAACCGCAUUUAAGUAUUUUCUUCAACCUGUUCUACAUUACAUUACAAAAUCUUCCCGGGUUCUUUAGGAGCUUUCUUGUGCACUGGCAAAAGUCAAGCAUUUUGGAAAGAAAAAGCAGAGCUUUUCAUCGUCAUUUUCAGCGAGCUUUUAACAUCACCUGGGAGUAUUGAAUAGGCCGAGAAGCCGAUUCCUGUCCAGGAACCAUAUACCAAUAUCGCUACUCAUUUUCUUUGUGAGGCCGAAGUCAGAUCUGGUCACUUUUCCUCCUACAGUACUCGUUCAUAAUAUA